UUUAAUUCUCGCCAAUUUCUUCGUUUGUUGUUCUCAUAUCACCAGUUGUUAUGAGCCCAGCCAUAGUUCUAACUGUAGCUACUCGAAUUUGUCGUCUGAUAGCACAAUGAUGGUGAUGGCUCCAGUGGAAUUCUGAUAACUGUAAACAAGCGACGCUCUUUGGAACCUCGACAACCUGGCUGUCACAUUCUGAUCUGAGAGCUCAACCCUCAUCCUCCUCAUGUAAUCAGAUCAACAGGCUAUGACUGCAAGCAAUGAAUACAAGUAUACAACUAAAGAGGCUUAUUAGUAGAGUGAGGUCAAAGAUUGUUGUUUUGCUUUUCUUUUCUUUUUUUCUUCA